rnacentral:lncRNA from 1 species
AGAGACCGAGUCUUCGUCAUUUUCAUGUCUGGGGAUGCAGAGCAGAAGUGAGGCCCUAUAAUCCACAAUCAAGGAAACUUGAUCCGAAAACAAUUAGUGGUCAUUUUAUUGGCUAUUGUAUCGGCUCAAGGGGUUCUAGAUUUUAUUGUCCUUCCCACACUACUAGAAUCAUUGAGUCUGAUCGUGCCAUUUAUUUUGAGGAUGAUCACAAUGGUGGGAGUUCUGAGCCUCGCAGUCUGACAUUGAGAGAAGAACGUGUGGUUUUGCCUAUUCCAUCUUUUCCGACUUCUGCGAUGGGAUUACCACAUAUUGAUGAUUCUUCUGUUGAUCCUGAACUUCAUCAUAAUAUGGAGCCUAUGAUUGUAGAGGAUGAUGGUACUGAUGUGCCAUUGAGGAGAUCAGAGAGGAUCAGGAGACCUGCAAUUUCUGAUGAUUAUGUUGUUUACUUGCAGGAACAUGAUUUUGAUGCUGACUCAUCAUCUGAUCCUAUUACCUUUCAAGAGGCCAUCAGUUGUUCAGAAUCAUCAUCUUGGAUACAUGCGAUGCAUGAUGAGAUGGCAUCUAUGUAUCAUAAUGGGGUUUGGGAUUUAGUUGAGUUGCCAGAUGGAUGCAGACCAAUUGGUUGCAAAUGGGUUUUCAAAACCAAGAGAGAUGCCAGAGGUCAGGUAGAGAGGUACAAGGCCAGGCUUGUGGCUAAGGGUUUCAGUCAAAGAGAAGGCAUUGAUUUCACUGAAACGUACUCUCCUGUUUCUACCAAAGACUCUUUUCGUAUUAUCAUGGCAUUGGUAGCUCAUUUCAAUUUAGAAUUGCAUCAGAUGGAUGUGAAGACAGCUUUUCUCAAUGGGAGCUUGUCUGAAGAUGUGUACAUAGUGCAACCUGAUGGUUUUGUUGAGACUGGUAAAGAAAACAUGGUGUGUAAACUUUGAUCACAAUGGUGGGAGUUCUGAGCCUCGCAGUCUGACAUUGAGAGAAGAACGUGUGGUUUUGCCUAUUCCAUCUUUUCCGACUUCUGCGAUGGGAUUACCACAUAUUGAUGAUUCUUCUGUUGAUCCUGAACUUCAUCAUAAUAUGGAGCCUAUGAUUGUAGAGGAUGAUGGUACUGAUGUGCCAUUGAGGAGAUCAGAGAGGAUCAGGAGACCUGCAAUUUCUGAUGAUUAUGUUGUUUACUUGCAGGAGCAUGAUUUUGAUGCUGACUCUUCAUCUGAUCCUAUUACCUUUCAAGAGGCCAUCAGUUGUUCAGAAUCCUCAUCUUGGAUACAUGCGAUGCAUGAUGAGAUGGCAUCUAUGUAUCAUAAUGGGGUUUGGGAUUUAGUUGAGUUGCCAGAUGGAUACAGGCCAAUUGGUUGCAAAUGGGUUUUCAAAACCAAGAGAGAUGCCAGAGGUCAGGUAGAGAGGUACAAGGCUAGGCUUGUGGCUAAGGGUUUCAGUCAAAGAGAAGGCAUUGAUUACACUGAAACCUACUCUCCUGUUUCUACCAAAGACUCUUUUCGUAUUAUCAUGGCAUUGGUAGCUCAUUUCAAUUUAGAAUUGCAUCAGAUGGAUGUGAAGACAGCUUUUCUCAAUGGAAGCUUAUCUGAAGAUGUGUACAUGGUGCAACCUGAUGGUUUUGUUGAGACUGAUAGAGAAAACAUGGUGUGUAAGCUUAAAAGGUCCAUUUAUGGACUUAAGCAAGCAUCCAGACAGUGGUAUUUGAAAUUUCACGAUAUUGUCACCUCUUAUGGGUUCCAGGAGAAUGCCGUUGAUCAGUGUAUAUACUUGAGAGUCAGUGGGAGCAAGUAUAUCAUUUUGGUGCUUUAUGUGGAUGAUAUCUUGCUCGCUGCUAAUGACACUAAUUUGUUACUUGAGACAAAGCAAAUGUUGUCAUGCAGCUUUGAUAUGAAGGAUCUUGGUGAAGCCCAUUAUGUAUUAGGGAUAGAGAUUCUUCGUGAUAGAUCUAGAGGAAUUCUAGGCUUGUCUCAAAAGACUUACAUUGAUCGUAUUUUGAAAAGGUUCAAUUUGCA